GCCUACGGGGGGCAGCAGUAGGGAAUCUUCCACAAUGGGCGAAAGCCUGAUGGAGCAACGCCGCGUGGGUGAAGAAGGUCUUCCGAUCGUAAAACCCUGUUGUUAGAGAAGAAAGUGCGUGAGAGUAACUGUUCACAUUUCGACGGUAUCUAACCAGAAAGCCACGGCUAACUACGUGCCAGCAGCCGCGGUAAUACGUAGGUGGCAAGCGUUAUCCGGAUUUAUUGGGCGUAAAGGGAACGCAGGCGGGCUUUUAAGUCUGAUGUGAAAGCCUUCGGCUUAACCGGAGUAGUGCAUUUGACACU
rnacentral:rRNA from 1 species